GGUUAAGCGACUAAGCGUACACGGUGGAUGCCCUGGCAGUCAGAGGCGAUGAAGGACGUGCUAAUCUGCGAUAAGCGUCGGUAAGGUGAUAUGAACCGUUAUAACCGGCGAUUUCCGAAUGGGGAAACCCAGUGUGAUUCGUCACACUAUCAUUAACUGAAUCCAUAGGUUAAUGAGGCGAACCGGGGGAACUGAAACAUCUAAGUACCCCGAGGAAAAGAAAUCAACCGAGAUUCCCCCAGUAGCGGCGAGCGAACGGGGAGCAGCCCAGAGCCUGAAUCAGUGUGUGUGUUAGUGGAAGCGUCUGGAAAGGCGUGCGAUACAGGGUGACAGCCCCGUACACAAAAAUGCACAUGCUGUGAGCUCGAUGAGUAGGGCGGGACACGUGGUAUCCUGUCUGAAUAUGGGGGGACCAUCCUCCAAGGCUAAAUACUCCUGACUGACCGAUAGUGAACCAGUACCGUGAGGGAAAGGCGAAAAGAACCCCGGCGAGGGGAGUGAAAAAGAACCUGAAACCGUGUACGUACAAGCAGUGGGAGCACAGAGCAAUCUGUGUGACUGCGUACCUUUUGUAUAAUGGGUCAGCGACUUAUAUUCUGUAGCAAGGUUAACCGAAUAGGGGAGCCGAAGGGAAACCGAGUCUUAACUGGGCGUUAAGUUGCAGGGUAUAGACCCGAAACCCGGUGAUCUAGCCAUGGGCAGGUUGAAGGUUGGGUAACACUAACUGGAGGACCGAACCGACUAAUGUUGAAAAAUUAGCGGAUGACUUGUGGCUGGGGGUGAAAGGCCAAUCAAACCGGGAGAUAGCUGGUUCUCCCCGAAAGCUAUUUAGGUAGCGCCUCGUGAAUUCAUCUCCGGGGGUAGAGCACUGUUUCGGCAAGGGGGUCAUCCCGACUUACCAACCCGAUGCAAACUGCGAAUACCGGAGAAUGUUAUCACGGGAGACACACGGCGGGUGCUAACGUCCGUCGUGAAGAGGGAAACAACCCAGACCGCCAGCUAAGGUCCCAAAGUCAUGGUUAAGUGGGAAACGAUGUGGGAAGGCCCAGACAGCCAGGAUGUUGGCUUAGAAGCAGCCAUCAUUUAAAGAAAGCGUAAUAGCUCACUGGUCGAGUCGGCCUGCGCGGAAGAUGUAACGGGGCUAAACCAUGCACCGAAGCUGCGGCAGCGACACUAUGUGUUGUUGGGUAGGGGAGCGUUCUGUAAGCCUGCGAAGGUGUGCUGUGAGGCAUGCUGGAGGUAUCAGAAGUGCGAAUGCUGACAUAAGUAACGAUAAAGCGGGUGAAAAGCCCGCUCGCCGGAAGACCAAGGGUUCCUGUCCAACGUUAAUCGGGGCAGGGUGAGUCGACCCCUAAGGCGAGGCCGAAAGGCGUAGUCGAUGGGAAACAGGUUAAUAUUCCUGUACUUGGUGUUACUGCGAAGGGGGGACGGAGAAGGCUAUGUUGGCCGGGCGACGGUUGUCCCGGUUUAAGCGUGUAGGCUGGUUUUCCAGGCAAAUCCGGAAAAUCAAGGCUGAGGCGUGAUGACGAGGCACUACGGUGCUGAAGCAACAAAUGCCCUGCUUCCAGGAAAAGCCUCUAAGCAUCAGGUAACAUCAAAUCGUACCCCAAACCGACACAGGUGGUCAGGUAGAGAAUACCAAGGCGCUUGAGAGAACUCGGGUGAAGGAACUAGGCAAAAUGGUGCCGUAACUUCGGGAGAAGGCACGCUGAUAUGUAGGUGAAGUCCCUCGCGGAUGGAGCUGAAAUCAGUCGAAGAUACCAGCUGGCUGCAACUGUUUAUUAAAAACACAGCACUGUGCAAACACGAAAGUGGACGUAUACGGUGUGACGCCUGCCCGGUGCCGGAAGGUUAAUUGAUGGGGUCAGCGCAAGCGAAGCUCUUGAUCGAAGCCCCGGUAAACGGCGGCCGUAACUAUAACGGUCCUAAGGUAGCGAAAUUCCUUGUCGGGUAAGUUCCGACCUGCACGAAUGGCGUAAUGAUGGCCAGGCUGUCUCCACCCGAGACUCAGUGAAAUUGAACUCGCUGUGAAGAUGCAGUGUACCCGCGGCAAGACGGAAAGACCCCGUGAACCUUUACUAUAGCUUGACACUGAACAUUGAGCCUUGAUGUGUAGGAUAGGUGGGAGGCUUUGAAGUGUGGACGCCAGUCUGCAUGGAGCCGACCUUGAAAUACCACCCUUUAAUGUUUGAUGUUCUAACGUUGACCCGUGAUCCGGGUUGCGGACAGUGUCUGGUGGGUAGUUUGACUGGGGCGGUCUCCUCCUAAAGAGUAACGGAGGAGCACGAAGGUUGGCUAAUCCUGGUCGGACAUCAGGAGGUUAGUGCAAUGGCAUAAGCCAGCUUGACUGCGAGCGUGACGGCGCGAGCAGGUGCGAAAGCAGGUCAUAGUGAUCCGGUGGUUCUGAAUGGAAGGGCCAUCGCUCAACGGAUAAAAGGUACUCCGGGGAUAACAGGCUGAUACCGCCCAAGAGUUCAUAUCGACGGCGGUGUUUGGCACCUCGAUGUCGGCUCAUCACAUCCUGGGGCUGAAGUAGGUCCCAAGGGUAUGGCUGUUCGCCAUUUAAAGUGGUACGCGAGCUGGGUUUAGAACGUCGUGAGACAGUUCGGUCCCUAUCUGCCGUGGGCGCUGGAGAACUGAGGGGGGCUGCUCCUAGUACGAGAGGACCGGAGUGGACGCAUCACUGGUGUUCGGGUUGUCAUGCCAAUGGCACUGCCCGGUAGCUAAAUGCGGAAGAGAUAAGUGCUGAAAGCAUCUAAGCACGAAACUUGCCCCGAGAUGAGUUCUCCCUGACUCCUUGAGAGUCCUGAAGGAACGUUGAAGACGACGACGUUGAUAGGCCGGGUGUGUAAGCGCAGCGAUGCGUUGAGCUAACCGGUACUAAUGAACCGUGAGGCUUAACCUU
rnacentral:rRNA from 1 species